AGUUCGCCUUGCAGAAGAUAGAGGAAGCUCAUCCAGCUGUACCUCACCAAGCAAUGGGUUUCCAUCAAGAUGUCCUGCUGCCAUGUUAGGUGCCCCAGCCGAAGUAUCAAGGUCUGCUGCUUAAUUUCCACGCAUGUUUCUAACAUUGAUGUUGGUGCGUUCAGUUCUGCUUCAAGGGCAGAAAUACACGGGCCAGAUUUGAAGAGAUUUAGUCUGGGACAGCCUAUUUUAGGUUAAGGAAAACAGCAAGGAAAGGAAGAACAAAUAUAACUCCCCAGGAGACAGCAAGCCCACUGUGUCUGCCUCAAGCAAGGACCUGUGCCAUGAAGGUCUGUAAAACUCAAACCAUCGAUGUCCUGUGAAGGGGAGAAGUCAGCAACUAUACAUGGCCAUGCAGCCUACAAGGAGGGAAAGUUCAAAAGAAGCAUUAACCAUGAACAGGUCUCUCUCCGGACUAGGAAUCAGAUCUGACACUGCUUUUCUAGCCCUGGCCAACCAGAGCUGUGAGGUGACUGGGAGCAAGCCCAGUUAGUUCCCUUCCAGCAUGUCUGCUGCCCAUCCGACUCCUCAUCUGUUUGGACCAAAAGCUCUUCAGAGGGUUGGCACUGCCUCUCUGAGCAUAACACCACACAUUUAUAAUAUAAAAAACGGAUCCAGCCAUUUCUGCCCAUUGUAACGUGACCCAAUGCUAGGAAAGCUCCUGCUCAGCUCCAGAGUUUCAGGGGUUCUUCCUGCAGUUGUAGCUGCUUGGCUUCUGUGGAAAAGCAGGGAAAAUCUGGCUUUCCUUUGGAAUUACUUUGUUAUUACUUUAUUCAUCUCCAAUAAUGCUGAUGGCGAGCACUGGAUAUGGAUAAGGAUGUAUGGAGGUCUUUUCCCCUACCUGAAAUGGAGAACAUGGAUCUUGUGCUGAAGAUAAGGGAACAUGUGAGCUCACACAGUGGUAAGAGAGAGGCAAAGAGAGACUGAUGACAGGUUCAGAGGAAGAAGUCUGAACAGUGUGGCUCCUCUCUGCCCUGCCUUCCUCUGCUCCCUCUUUCUCACUGUGUAUGUGACUGAGGGCAGGCUUGCUGUAGUUCCCUGUGUUCAUACAAUGUCUAAAGUAAUCAACAAGAUUUUCAGGGCACUGCAGGGCUGUAUUUUCAAGUGCUUGGUGCUCACUGACAUUUCAGGAGAGUCCAGCUCUUGUGUAAGCAUCUAAUAAGGCUCAGAGGGAAGAGGGCAGUAACACUAAUAGCAGCAGCAGCAGUGACCACUAAUAUGAUGAGGCCUCCUCUGUAAUUGCCUUUCCCCUGUUUUGUUUCUCUGCCACACUGACAAAGCAAUUGGUUUAAAAAUGUCAGUAGCAAAAGCCAUUUAAGUGGAUGGGUUUGCUUUGCCUCGUGCAUCAGGUCAUACUGGCUGUGUCUGAUACCCUGGGGACAUGGGGAGUCUCUCCCCCUACCAGAGUAUCCGUAAUGUCUUUCUCUCUGGCUCCAGGCUGGGUUCCCAGAGGGUAAAUAGACCUCAUGAUGGAGGUGGCCAAAAGCCUGGUACCUCAUUGCUCAUUGCAAGCCCACCACUGUGGGACUUCACUGUGCUUGCAGGCUGUGCUCCUGCCCAGGCUCUGCAGCUGCCUCCAGCACUGCAGGUGCCCUGUGCUAUGCCCAUGAAAACCAGAAUAAAAGACUGGUGGGUGCUGGAAAAA